rnacentral:rRNA from 1 species
UACGUAGGGGGCGAGCGUUGUCCGGAUUCAUUGGGCGUAAAGCGCUUUAAGGCGGUUCGCUAAGUCAGGUGUGAAACCUCCAGGCUCAACCUGGAGACGCCACUCGAUACUGGCGUGACUAGAGUUCGGUAGGGGACCACGGAAUUCCUGGUGUGGCGGUGAAAUGCGCAGAUAUCAGGAGGAACACCAGUGGCGAAGGCGGUGGUCUGGGCCGAUACUGACGCUGUAGAGCGAAAGCGUGGGGAGCAAACAGG